CCCCACCCCGGGUCGCACCUGGAGAGUUUCCAAUAUGCUACCAGUCUCGACUACAGGAGGGAGAGUCAAGCAGAGGCAUUCCCAUUCCAUUCCUAGCUUGGCCAGUGGCUAGCGAGUGGAAGGCAAUCUGCUACAGGU
rnacentral:snoRNA from 1 species